rnacentral:rRNA from 1 species
AAGGUAGCAUAAUAAUUAGGUUUUUGAUUGAAAUCUAGAAUGAAUGAUUGGACGAGAUGCGGGCUGUUUUAAAAUAAUUAAUUAAAACUUAAUUUUUUAGUCAAAAAGCUAAAAUUUUAUUAAAAGACGAGAAGACCCUAUAAAUCUUUAUAAUAAAUUUAUUUUUAUAGGUUAUUUCAUUUAAAUUAAUUAUUUAAAUAUUAAAUUAUUUUAUUGGGGUGAUACAAAAAUUUAAUAAACUUUUUUAAAUAAACUACUAAAAUUAAAGAUUUUUAAAUAAUGAUCUAUUAUUAAUAACUCAAAGAAUAAGAUACUUUAGGGAUAACAGCGUAAUUUUAAUUUUAAGUUCUUAUUAAAAUUAAAGAUUGCGACCUCGAUGUUGGAUUAAAAUUUAAUUUAAAUGCAAAGGUUUAAAAAUUAAGUCUGUUCGACUUUUAAAAUUUUACAUGAUCUGAGUUCAAACCGGUGUGAGCCAGGUUG